rnacentral:ribozyme from 13 species
UGUCUUUGUCCUUUUCUUUUUCUUUUUCUUUUUCUUUUUCCUUUUCUUUUUGUUCCAUGAUGGAGGAUAAGAGUUUUUUCACAGAAGAAAAA